rnacentral:tRNA from 1 species
GGCCCUAUCGUCUAGAGGCCUAGGACGCCGCCCUCUCACGGCGGUAACGCGGGUUCGACUCCCGCUGGGGCUACCA